ACGGGAGGCAGCAGUGGGGAAUAUUGGACAAUGGGGGGAACCCUGAUCCAGCCAUGCCGCGUGUGUGAAGAAGGCCUUUUGGUUGUAAAGCACUUUAAGCGAGGAGGAGGCUUACCUGGUUAAUACCUGGGAUAAGUGGACGUUACUCGCAGAAUAAGCACCGGCUAACUCUGUGCCAGCAGCCGCGGUAAUACAGAGGGUGCAAGGGUUAAUCGGAUUUACUGGGCGUAAAGCGCGCGUAGGUGGCUAAUUAAGUCAGAUGUGAAAUCCCCGAGCUUAACUUGGGAAUUGCAUUCGAUACUGGUGAGCUAGAGUAUGGGAGAGGAUGGUAGAAUUCCAGGUGUAGCGGUGAAAUGCGUAGAGAUCUGGAGGAAUACCGAUGGCGAAGGCAGCCAUCUGGCCUAAUACUGACACUGAGGUGCGAAAGCAUGGGGAGCAAACAGGAUUAGAUACCCUGGUA
rnacentral:rRNA from 1 species